AAGCUUAUAAUAUUGAAGCCGCUAACUUCGUUUACUAAAAUAUAUUUAGAAAGUUUU
rnacentral:tRNA from 1 species